rnacentral:rRNA from 1 species
UACAGAGGGGGCAAGCGUUAUUCGGAAUUACUGGGCGUAAAGGGCGCGUAGGCGGCAUGACAAGUCACUUGUGAAAUCUCCGGGCUUAACUCGGAACGGCCAAGUGAUACUGUCAAGCUAGAGUGCAGAAAGGGCAAUCGGAAUUCUUGGUGUAGCGGUGAAAUGCGUAGAUAUCAAGAGGAACACCUGAGGCGAAGGCGGGUUGCUGGGCCAUUCCUGACGCUGAGGAGCGAAAGCGUGGGGAGCGAACAGG